UUGAGCCUGUCCAUGCCACUCGGUUUAAACUACCCUAUUUAUCCAGCUAAACUGGGAAAGCCAGUUUUAAAACCUAGACAUAGGGUUUUUCAUGGGGAGGAACGAACCGCACGCCGAACAAUGAUGGAGCUGGGUGCUUGCUAGGGCAGUUAAUUUUAGAUGGACGACUGACUGACUGUCCCCCCCAGUUUUCCCACGUGGGGAUAGCGGCUUACUUCCACAACCCGUCUGUUCAGGGCAAGCCAGCCUGCCCCGGCCGGUCUAGCCCCAUGAUUUCCGCCUGGCGCCCCCAAAAGAUAGGGGAUGGAUAAAGAGGGCAAUGCCUUGAGAGCCCGAAAAAUCAUAUGGCACAUGAAUACUGAAUAACCAGUGGAUAUGGAUAUGAUCCACGGGAAUGGGACGAUGAUGAUGAUAUGCACACGCAAUGUAUGGAUGCAAUGUACGGUACUAUGUGUUGUACGGUCCAGCACAUUCAUCAUGACAUUGAUGAAACCACACACACACGCGGGGGAAAAGAGAGAAAGAGAGAAAGAAGGUUUAAUAACAAUGAAAAAAAAAAAAAAAAAAAAAAAAAAAGACGCACACUGGAGCCCACUCAUCCAUCCGCCCAGGAUCCCAGGCAAGGCGCAAUUUAAAUCCCUCAUACAAGAAGAGACGUUAAAACGGCUCUGAUAAUAUCCAAUCUUAAUAUCACCUGUGCGAGGUUUCCUGGGAGAAAAAGCGGCUCCACACGUCUCUCUCCGCAUUUUGCUUUUGCAGAGAAGAGUAGAUAAAACUGCUGUUGAGGUAUGUACGGUAUGUACGGUUCGUACGGUAUGUAUGUAACGGCGGGGUGGUGUGUGCAUCUCCCACAGGAACCGAGUCAAGUCGCCAAUUGCACGCCGUUGAGCAUAUCCAUGGAUCAGACAGAAUACUGAUAAGAAGCAGAAGCAGGAGAAAAGAGGCAUCUGUAUCGCCCGCCUUUUUCUGCCCGAUUGAACACGCAGUGAGACGGGUAAUUGGGCAGGUCACGCAGAUCAAAAUGAAGAAAAAUACCCGCCCCUUGCCAGCUAUAUGAUUACACCAUGCAUUUGUUAUCCGUAUGAAAUCAGAAACAACAAUAAUAAGCAUUCAAGCAUCACUUAGUUCUCCCUUCAGCUCAAUGUCAAAAAAAAAAAAAAAAAAAAAAAAAGUAAGAAAAAAGAAAAAAACCACCCUGGUCCCUGGGUUUAUUUUUAGCCAUCCGCUGCGCAACUCGUCGUAACCAUGUCUCAUAUUUCAGCGGCCGAUGUUGGCAGGUUUCAACGCUCGAGCUAGGCGGCUGCGGACCUCUCCGUCUUGUAAGAUAAAAAAACAAAAAUAAACAACACCUCAAUCGACGUCCAGUGUUGGUUGUGCAAGUGAACAUUUUCCCCCAAACCCUUUUUUGAGGAUUUAUUUUAUUUAUUAUUUAUUAUUUUAAUCUGUUAGGCCUGGAGGCGGGUCUACGAAACUGAACAUGUUCAUCGAUGCGAUCUUAAUUAAAAUUCAAGGCUUUCAACGGGUGGACGGGUUUUGGUUGUUUGUUAUCAGCCAGGUUUCAUUGGCUGGCGGCCGUUUUAUUUUAUCUGAUUGGGCACUUGGAAGUAGACGUUGAUUUAUGCUGGCCCGUUUUUGCUUGCUGAUUGGCAAAAAGCUGGAGGUUUAUCUAUCAAGGUUUUGGUUUUGGUUUUGUUCUUUGCAAAAGGUUUGGUUGGUGAAACUUGAUGUUGUUGAAUGAUGAAUGAUUGAAGUUGGUUUUCAUGCUGCUGCCAAUUGUUUGGCAUCUUAAAAAUAAAGAUCCAUGGAAAUUUGAUGGCGUGUAUAGACAAAGAGAUUGCUGGCAAGUUAGAAAUAUGGAUGCGAUGCAAGAGAGAACGGGGGAACGAUAUAUGUCCCAGCGUGGUCGAAAUUGGAGAAUUGAUAACUGCAUAGAUAGAUAGAUCUUAUAGCUGUGUGAGCGCCGUUGCGAGUAGAUUAUAUACAUGCAAAAAUAUCUUGUCUCAAUACAUUAUCUUCGGCUUUCCGAAGGCAACGGCCGUUUUUCACCCCACAUGGCAAUUCGUCGCAAUCAAUCCAUCAUCGAUUCGCCACCAGUUCCACCGGAAAAAGACCGACCCCAGCAGUGCGUCCCACUCAGAUAGGGAGGGGAUUUCUGUUUUCAGCAAAACGCUGUGUGCGAAUUUGUUUUAAGCUUCAUAUUGGUGGAGGCAAAUUCUACUUUGGGAUUGGAGAUGGUAGGAGUUGCGGCGCGAACUCGUGGGUGGGGAUCCUACAGCAGCAGUUGUUGAGCCUAGAAUGAGGUGGAGUAUUGAAAGACGUAUUUAUCAUUUUUCGACACGGCCUUCUAUCUAGAUCGCAUAUGCACAGACACAGUAGGUUAUUAGCCUGACUGUAGUCCAUUUCAAUGUUUUGUGGGUAUGUGUGCAGAUUGAAAUUGAAAGUGUGAAUGUUUUCGCCCAUCUGGAAGGUGGUGACGUCGCCUGUGACACGGAUAGCAUAAUUAGCGGUCACUCCUUGUAUCGUUGCUUGCUUGAAUCAGCGAUUGGUAUGGUCUUCAUGAUUCCGCAUCCAUUUCAAUACCCAUUCGACCAGGAUGCCAAAAUCCUCAGAUAUCUGCAGCACCCUGGCGAGGCUUUGGUGGAGGUGCGGCGAUUCUGUUCUGGAUAUAUCGUUCAAGGGUCCUUCUGUGCUGUCGCUUACGUCAUCCCACAUUCCACCAACCCGUGAGACCGUGAUGUUACCAUUGAGUCCGAUAUCUAUAUUGAUUGUUAUCGUCGUCGGGUUUUCCAUGGACGCAUUUGGCCCUCUCUUAGGCGCGUUGAAUAAUAGCAUUAAGGAUGGUGGCCCUAAUAUCGGAGUUCGUAAAGAUAUGUCUAUUUUCCGGUCAUCAGUUGCCGGCGCAGGGGGAAAAGGCGCGUUAACAUGAGAAUCAAUGCCGUUGCUUCUCUCGAUAACAUGCUUGGAAUCGUCACGCGAAAGCAUAGCGUUCAGUUUGGAUACUGUAGGGCUGAUAUUGGUUAUAAACGUGACGUCAGACUUGGACGUCUGGUUUGGCGAGGCUGAGAUCACCGAGUGGGCUGAGGGAGAUUUGCUCGACCUGACAGUUUGGUUGUUUUGGCCAACAAAUACUCUGUGAAGGAGGCUAGACAAUAGUGCGUACUGGCGUAGGAUCUACGCACAAUGGUAAGUAGCUGAUCAUGAAGCAAUGGGAAUUUGAAAGUAAAAAAGUAAUAGGGGUGAAUGUCUAUGGACUCACAGGAAGAACAUCAGCCAACUGCCGAGGGUGAGAAAACGGAAGAUCACGUAUGGUGCGUCCGACAAUAUGC
rnacentral:sRNA from 1 species